UACGGAGGGGACUAGCGUUGUUCGGAAUUACUGGGCGUAAAGCGCACGUAGGCGGAUUGCUAAGUCAGGGGUGAAAUCCUGGAGCUCAACUCCAGAACUGCCUUUGAUACUGGCGACCUUGAGUCCGGGAGAGGUGAGUGGAACUGCGAGUGUAGAGGUGAAAUUCGUAGAUAUUCGCAAGAACACCAGUGGCGAAGGCGGCUCACUGGCCCGGUACUGACGCUGAGGUGCGAAAGCGUGGGGAGCAAACAGG
rnacentral:rRNA from 1 species